CCAAUUAAUCCAAUUUGGUCCCAUUUUCUAAACUACAAACAGUGGCCCUUUCUUUAAUUUCCAUUACCAGCCUUCAGCUAUAACCCAAUUAUAAAAACCACCCAGCCCAUCCCACAUAUAUCUUCUCUCCUCUCAACCCUAAAUCAACAAAGGAAAAACCACAACAUCCUCCAGUAAUCCCCAAUACUCCCAACCCGCCGUCGACCCAACCCCAACUAGAACCUGAACCAGCUCCAAAACCCGUCUCCAACAAAACCACAACAGCUCCAACCCUUCUUUAUUCCUCGUCACGUGCCCUUCCACGUGAGUGUGUACGAGAAGGAUUCUGAAACCUUCUAGAACAGGCCUAGGUGCCUCUCCUCAAUGGCUCAAUCCUGUGAAACAUGGUAGCAAUAGUACGAUUUCAUACAUCUAUGGAUGAAUCUCAUUGGUUCUGAGGGACGGCUUGUCUUUAUAAAAAUCGAUUGGUCCACGUUUCUCUUUUUGGGAAAAGAAUCCAAGAUUUGGAGCAAAAUAGGGAUGAAAGCAGGAUCUUUGGGUGGGGGGAAUUUCAAUUUUUGAAUCUCAAAUAUCGCCUUCGAAAUCCCUAAUUUACCCCCAAAAUAAGCCCUAGUUGUUCUCUAUAAAAGGUGAACCUGAGAGUUGAAGAGGGUUUUUUUUUUUGGUUUCGGGGGCAAAGAGACAGGGAGGGUCUUCUUUCUCUUUGGAGGUAUUUUUUUUUCUUUGGGGGUGGGGGGGAGGGAGUCGAGGCUCUAAGGGAAAAUCUCGGGGUUACCGACUCUAGGUCUUGAACGAAUAAGCUAAAGAAGGAAUUUUUUUAGGGCUGGUUCAAAAAUCUGGGUUUGACAAAAAGAAGGCUCGAAAAUUAGGUUUUUUUUUUUUAGUCUAAAAAAAAGAGGAAAUCUUUCUUGUUCCUACUGAGGUUGAAAAAAUUCAGAGGCAGAAAGGGGUUCAAAUUUUUUUUCUAAGGGAAAUUCUGGAGUUAAAUUUAGGUUGAAAUUUUAGUUGAAAGUUUGUCCGUUGGUGGUCCACGUCAUGAGAUUCCGAUAGCGACAAGUUUGCUGAUAGUUCGUCGUCCCGUUUGUUGCAUCGAAACAAGUAUGGCUCAAUUACAUUCCCACGAGAAUUUCAAGAUGGUUACUAAACCCGAUGCCUGCCUUCAUUGAUCCAAAUGGAUGCUUGGCCCAAAAUGAUCCACGUGCUUACCACUUUUUGGGAUGAUCAGAAUUUGGUGUUUCGCUUCGGAGAUGUAGAAUUGACUCCUACCAUCGAAGAAGUGUUAGUUUGCUAUGAGAGUAUUGAAAUAUGUUUCAAGAGAAAAGAAAAACCUAAUAAGAAUAUUUUAGUUCCUGCAGGUGGUACCGUCAAAUAAUUAAAAAGGCUUUUUUAACUGACGACGACACCUGGCUAGGGGAACGUGAUAGAGCAAAUAUCACUUUUCGGGAGUUGUAUCAUCGGUUUGGAAGAUUCAAUGCCUUUCACAAAUUUAGACAUAAAUUUGAGUCCGAAGCAAAAUGGAAGGAGAUGAGAGCCUUUGCAUUUGCGGUAGGUCUACUCGAAACCAUGGUGUUCCCACAGGGGGAAAAUGGCACAAUUCAUCCAAGGUUUGUUAUGGUGGCUCAUGCACUUUUCUUUAGAGUAGAUUAUGAUUCUAACAAGGUAUUCCACAAUUUAGCUCCCAUGAUUGUCACCGACAUAUAUCGAGCCUUGGGAAGGUGUCAAGUCAAAAAUCGUUUCUUUCAAGGUUGCAACCUCAUAUUACAAUGGUGGAUAAUAAAGCGUUUGGUAAAGGAUUUGAGAAUGGUACAACCUGAUCAUAAAAUAAGGGUGGAUAUGCUGGCUUCGCACUACAUGUGGUUGUUUCUACACAAGUUCAAAAGGGAAGCAUCUCACGAAUUUUGGUUUAAGACUUUUGGGGAAUUAAUAGAUAACGAUAUGCAAUGGUCCAUUAACUCUCUUUGUGCAAGGAAAUAAACCAUUCGAGAGGGCAAGUGGCCUUUCCUAGUGCUUCCCGGUCUCAGAAGGACCCGUCCCUACAAUCCUAGAAGAGUUCUUAGGCAAUUCGAGAUCAAUCAGGAGGCACCAUAAAUAGAUUCCAUGCAUAGGUGUUUCACCGAAUAUGAUAAAAGUGAGUCUCCGCUCAAAGAUGGCAUGAUAAGUAGAUGGAGAAGAAGGUGGACGAAAGUGACUUUUCGUAUAGAGCAUGACCUUGAAGUCAGUGACACUUACAAGGAGUGGUUAAAAAAGAACCUCGCCGGAGCAUUGAUUUUGGGACCAAAUGUGCCCACUCGGGUUGUGGAUGUAGAAUCCGAGCAUCAAGUUCGACUCUACAGGCUACAAGAUGAGUUCCAGAAAAGUUAAAUUGUGCACCAACAGGUACACAUGGAGGACGCUUUAACAAUAUGUAUGUUGAGGGAAGAGCUAAAAAGAGCUAGGCAAGAGGCUGUUGACGCUAGGAAGUGUUUAAUCAAUUUGGAUGAUAGCAUAGCCUCUCAACUCGAUAGUAUAGGGAAAAUGACUUACGAUAGCAAGGCACAAUUAUGCGGGAGUCAUCUUAUCAUCAAUAGGUAUCAAAUAGCACAGGAGGUAAACAAGGCAAAGAAAGUAAAGGCAGACGAAGGAGCCUUUAGUAGCUAGUUUUUCUAUUUCCCCUGUGCGGGAACUUAUCUUCUUUCAUAUUAUUUCCCUUUUCCCCUAAAGAUUAUAUCCCUUUUUCAUUAUCUUUUGUAGGAAUUUAUGUCCUUUUUCGUGUCUAUAUAAGUUGGGGGUUAAUGGAUUGACUUCGA